rnacentral:rRNA from 1 species
UACGAAGGGGGCUAGCGUUGCUCGGAAUCACUGGGCGUAAAGGGUGCGUAGGCGGGUUUUUAAGUCAGGGGUGAAAUCCUGGAGCUCAACUCCAGAACUGCCUUUGAUACUGAAGAUCUUGAGUUCGGGAGAGGUGAGUGGAACUGCGAGUGUAGAGGUGAAAUUCGUAGAUAUUCGCAAGAACACCAGUGGCGAAGGCGGCUCUCUGGGUCCCUACCGACGCUGGGGUGCGAAAGCAUGGGGAGCGAACAGG